GUGGGAACCUACCUCGGGGUCGCGGAUAGCGGCGGGAAACUGCCGGUAAUACGCGAUGACAUCCCCGGAUCAAAGGUGUGAUUCCGCCCUGAGAUGGGCCCACAUGCUAUUAGCUAGUUGGCGGGGUAAUGGCCCACCAAGGCUAAGAUGGCUAGCGGGUGUGAGAGCACGACCCGCGUCACUGGGACUGAGACACUGCCCAGACACCUACGGGUGGCUGCAGUCGAGAAUCUUCGGCAAUGGGCGCAAGCCUGACCGAGCGACGCCGCGUGCGGGAUGAAGGCCCUCGGGUUGUAAACCGCUGUCGAGGGGGACGAAAUUUCGGUGGGUUCUCCCAUCGGAUCGACCGAUCCCUGGAGGAAGGGUGGGCUAAGUCCGUGCCAGCAGCCGCGGUAAGACGGACCACCCAAACGUUAUUCGGAAUCACUGGGCUUAAAGCGUGCGUAGGCGGCCCUGUAAGUUAGGUGUGAAAUCCCACAGCUCAACUGUGGAACUGCGCUUAAAACUACAGGGCUA
rnacentral:rRNA from 1 species